UACGAAGGGGGCUAGCGUUGCUCGGAAUCACUGGGCGUAAAGGGUGCGUAGGCGGGCCUUUAAGUCAGGGGUGAAAUCCUGGAGCUCAACUCCAGAACUGCCUUUGAUACUGAGGAUCUUGAGUACGGGAGAGGUGAGUGGAACUGCGAGUGUAGAGGUGAAAUUCGUAGAUAUUCGCAAGAACACCAGUGGCGAAGGCGGCUCACUGGCCCGUUACUGACGCUGAGGCACGAAAGCGUGGGGAGCAAACAGG
rnacentral:rRNA from 1 species